UUAUUUACAAAUAUACUACCCUCUUUAAAAUCUUUUAAAUAUACUAUCUUUUGAAUCUUAUUUUCAAAUAUACUAUCUCCACUAAUUCACCUUUUCAUUCUUUAUUACUUAUAUCUCCUCCUCUCUCACCUCACCCCCUCUUUACACGACACACACAAAACUCACGCACCCGGCCACUACUAUCCAGCUAAUCACCUCCCUAACAUUGUCACCACCUCUCACUCAGCCAAUCACUUCCCUAACAUUGCCACCGCCUUUUACUGAAACUGCCUCCAUUCCUCCUCCGCCUCCUCUUUGCCCACCCCCAGUCUUUCUCCUUGCCUACUACUCUACACCACCACAGUUGCCUUCCCACGAUGGCAGCCUGCACACCCCUCAUGACCCCCACCUCAUUCGACCCCUUCACCCCAUCGCCUCUUCUUCACCUCCAUCUCUUUCAUUCGACCGUCGGUGAUCAAACCAUCAGCCGGCCACCACCUCGAAAACCCGGUCUCCCGCUUUGAAUUCUUUAGAUUUGUAUGAUAUGUAUUUGAGGAACUCGACUUUCGACCUUGCCAUGAGACAGAGAUGUUGCGCAACAACCUAUGGAAUAAGAAGCAACUCCAGAGAGGUCUAAUGUCGUCUAACGUGUGGAUUUGAUUUAACUGAUUUUGAAUUUUGAGUUGCUUUUGAGUUGAUUUCUAGGUUGUUGUUUUAGUUGCUUUUUAGGUUGUAAUGUUUGGCUCCGCAGGGGUUAUUUUUCUGUUUUGCAACUCGUUACAACUUAUUAUGCAACUCAAUAUAAUUUUUUUUAAAAGUUGCAUUUCUGGUUGCAUGUGGUCGCUAGCAGUCGCAGUGCAUAUGCAACCAGUACCGUAUUUUUGAGAAUAUUUUCAAGAAUAUAGUAUUUUUGCAAUAUGUUUUAAAAAGUUAUAGUAUUUUCGCAAAAGUUUUUUCAAACUUGGUUAUGUAUAAAAAAAAAUCCUAAUUAAUCAUUUACGGGUCAUUUUCGCAAAAGUUUUUUCUAAAUUAGUCAUUUAAUUUUAAAAUAUUAAUCGCUAUACGGGUUUGGGUUUUACAAGACAGAAGGCCACACUACUGCCCUUGAAUAAAAGUCCAAACUACCUGAUGGUUUUGUUAAAUUUAAUUAAUUAUUAAUUAAUAUGCGCAAAUUAAAGUUUUACAAAUAUUGAAGUCUGGUUCACUUGUCAAAAUAUUUUACUACAAAAACA
rnacentral:lncRNA from 1 species